rnacentral:lncRNA from 1 species
UGCUAAGCUUUGAAAAAGAACUAGGUUUGGGGGAGAGAUUAGUUCAACAUACUAUAUUCGGAAACUAAUAAAUAACACAUAGAUUUUUGUGGAAGAGUAAGGUUUGACCCUUUGGGAGUGGAAACUCUUUUAAAGCUUAAAUUUGCAUAAUGCCUUCUCUUUAAGAAUUGUGAUUAGACAAUUUAUUUGAUAACUCUUGUUGAAGUUUGAGUUUUAUUUUUUUAAUGUUCCAUGUGAGAGUUAGAUUAUCAUGCCACUUGAAAAUUGUUUUUUUUUAUCAGCAUGAUGUUGUAAAUUAUAGUACUGUUUAUUUUUAUUUUUCUCUCCUUCAUUGCUAAGGGACUAGCAAUAUGUCGGUUGGGAGGAGUGAUUACUACUCAAAAAGUGCUAUUUCAU